rnacentral:rRNA from 1 species
CAAAGGAAUUGACGGGACCCGCACAAGCGGUGGAUGAUGUGGUUUAAUUCGAUGCAACGCGAAAAACCUUACCCACCUUUGACAUGUACGGAACCCUUUAGAGAUAGAGGGGUGCUCGAAAGAGAGCCGUAACACAGGUGCUGCAUGGCUGUCGUCAGCUCGUGUCGUGAGAUGUUGGGUUAAGUCCCGCAACGAGCGCAACCCUUGUCAUUAGUUGCUACAUUCAGUUGGGCACUCUAAUGAGACUGCCGGUGACAAGCCGGAGGAAGGUGGGGAUGACGUCAAGUCCUCAUGGCCCUUAUAGGUGGGCUACACACGUCAUACAAUGGCUGGUACAAAGGGUUGCCAACCCGCGAGGGGGAGCCAAUCCCAUAAAGCCAGUCGUAGUCCGGAUCGUAGUCUGCAACUCGACUACGUGAAGUCGGAAUCGCUAGUAAUCGUGGAUCAGAAUGUCACGGUGAAUACGUUCCCGGGUCUU